rnacentral:rRNA from 1 species
CUGCUGCCUCCCGUAGGAGUUUGGGCCGUGUCUCAGUCCCAGUGUGGGGGGCCUUCCUCUCAGAACCCCUACGCAUCGUCGCCACGGUGGGCCGUCACCCCGCCGUCUAGCUAAUGCGCCGCAUGCCCAUCCGCCACCGGAUCGCUCCUUUGGCCACCGGAGGAUGCCCUCCGGUGGCGUCACGGGGUAUUAGGCCGCGUUUCCGCGGGUUAUCCCCCUGUGGCGGCCAGGUUGCAUACGUGUUACUCACCCGUGCGCCGGUCGCCGGCGGG